GAUGAACGCUGGCGGCGUGCCUAAUACAUGCAAGUCGAGCGAACGGACGAGAAGCUUGCUUCUCUGAUGUUAGCGGCGGACGGGUGAGUAACACGUGGAUAACCUACCUAUAAGACUGGGAUAACUUCGGGAAACCGGAGCUAAUACCGGAUAAUAUUUUGAACCGCAUGGUUCAAAAGUGAAAGACGGUCUUGCUGUCACUUAUAGAUGGAUCCGCGCUGCAUUAGCUAGUUGGUAAGGUAACGGCUUACCAAGGCAACGAUGCAUAGCCGACCUGAGAGGGUGAUCGGCCACACUGGACCUAGGACACGGUCCAGACCCCUACGGGAGGCAGAGGAAGGGAAUCUUCGGCAAGGGGCGAAACCCUGACGGAGCAAGGCGGCGGGAGUGAGGAAGUUCUCCGGUUCGAAAACCUUUUUAAUAGGGGAAAAAAAUAUGUGUAAGAAACUGUGAAAACCUGACCGGUACCUAACAAGAAAGCCCCGCCUACCUACGG
rnacentral:rRNA from 1 species